AGCGUUCAAAGUGCUAAUUACAAUAGCAUCAAGUAUUGAGUGUUAAUUAUAAGUGUCAAAGCAUGAGAGUGCUAAUCAUAAUAUAUAGUAUCCAAGCAUUGGCAUGUGAACAAACCAAAACGCCAUUACAGUUGGCAUCCCAAUCCAUUAAUAGCAUCCCGGGCCCUUUCUCCUUCAAAAUGCUAUCAAUAUUUGCGUCCUCUUUCUGAAUGCCAUUACAAAUAAUGUCCUUAAUUAACGCUAAUGUGA
rnacentral:misc_RNA from 1 species